CGAUACCUAUAAAACAGACCAGCGGACACGUACAACUAUUCGUGGGGCAGCUCUCCGGAGCUCUGUCCCACUCUCUCGCCCAUUGUAUGCCACGCGCACGCAUUAGGUGCGGGCCAACCAACCCCGGCGCGGAAUGCGCCAAGGAAAACUAACAAAGAAGUGCCGGCCCUCCGAGCCCCUACCCCCGGUGCGCCCUGGAGGGAAACGCGCAUCUCUUGAAAUAUCAA
rnacentral:misc_RNA from 1 species